AGAGUUUGAUCAUGGCUCAGGACGAACGCUGGCGGCGUGCUUAACACAUGCAAGUCGAACGAGACCCUCGCUUCGGUGGGGUGUUCUAGUGGCGAACGGGUGAGUAACACGUGGGCAACCUGCCCCCGGCUCUGGGAUAACUCCAAGAAAUUGGGGCUAAUACCGGAUAUGACCGCUGACCGCAUGGUCUGGUGGUGGAAAGAUUUAUCGGCUGGGGAUGGGCCCGCGGCCUAUCAGCUUGUUGGUGGGGUAGUGGCCUACCAAGGCGACGACGGGUAGCCGGCCUGAGAGGGUGACCGGCCACACUGGGACUGAGACACGGCCCAGACUCCUACGGGAGGCAGCAGUGGGGAAUAUUGCGCAAUGGGCGAAAGCCUGACGCAGCGACGCCGCGUGGGGGAUGACGGCCUUCGGGUUGUAAACCUCUUUCAGCAGGGACGAAGCGCAAGUGACGGUACCUGCAGAAGAAGCACCGGCCAACUACGUGCCAGCAGCCGCGGUAAUACGUAGGGUGCAAGCGUUGUCCGGAAUUAUUGGGCGUAAAGAGCUCGUAGGCGGUCUGUCGCGUCGGCUGUGAAAUCCCGAGGCUCAACCUCGGGUCUGCAGUCGAUACGGGCAAACUGGAGUGUUGCAGGGGAGACUGGAAUUCCUGGUGUAGCGGUGAAAUGCGCAGAUAUCAGGAGGAACCACCGGUGGCGAAGGCGGGUCCCUGGGCAACAACUGACGCUGAGGAGCGAAAGCGUGGGGAGCGAACAGGAUUAGAUACCCUGGUAGUCCACGCCGUAAACGUUGGGCGCUAGGUGUGGGGCUCAUUCCACGAGUUCCGUGCCGCAGCUAACGCAUUAAGCGCCCCGCCUGGGGAGUACGGCCGCAAGGCUAAAACUCAAAGGAAUUGACGG
rnacentral:rRNA from 1 species